UCCUAUUUAAGAAGGAUCUUAAAUAGGGUCUAGGAGAGGUGGAAUUGCCUUCACCUGUGCUCCCAGGGCUGACUCAUUGCUCACCUCAGGUGAUCAGUCAGAGGUUGGGGCUCUGAUUCAGCAGUUCCCAUACACCUGCUCACACUGUGCUGUGGGCAGCUGGGAUCGGAGCUUUGAGGAAAGUCCCUCUUUAAGUAAGAUUAACUUAAAGCCAAAGCUGCUGCUUGUUGUCCGAUUCAGUGAUGUGGGAACAUGUGUGAGCCACAUGGUGAUGGGUUCAGGGCCAGGUGGGGACAGGGCAGCGUGCACAGAGCCUGGAUGGUGGGGAUGGAACAUGGGGAUGGGAUGGCUGCCACCCACCCACCACUGAGCCAAGCAUUGCUCUUCUCAAUGCUUGGAUGAUUGGAAAUGGGGCAAAGCAGCUUGUGGACAUCUGGCAGAGCCAGGCACAGCGGGGGGAGCAGCCUGGGUCUUAUGAUUCCAAUUGCCUUUGCUGCUCUGAUGCAGUGAGCUGGGGGGAAGCUGAGCUGCUGCCAUGGGUCCGUCUCAUCCGUUCCUCCACCCCAGGCUGUAGCCUUUCCCCAUGGGAUGCACUGCCAGGCUGCAGCACUCCCCUGGAGGGGGGGACAACAAGAGGAACUCCCCCAAGCCCCAGUGCAGAGCUCGGGUGUUUUAUGAUGCUCAGACACCACCACGAAUGUCACCCCAAGAAAAACCUCACCACAGUGACGCAAAGCAGAGAUGGACGGACAGACAGAAACGGCCGCUCAGAUGGGCUGCAUCUGCACGGGGCUGGGCAGGCAGCCAGCACAAAAUGGUCGUGGCCCUUUUCUGGCUCUGUGCAAUGACAGAAGGCCUCUUAAAAGUCUGCUGUCACCUCUCAGAAUUAAAACAAAGGCUCUGCAUUUGCUCAGGGAUCAUCCUCAGGGCUGCUAGCACAGCACAGCACAGCACUGGCUGCUGCACUACAACUCCCAACCCCAACCAAGAGGUCUCCCCACCCUCAACCAGCUCCAUGUGCUACAGCACAGCCAGCCAUGCCCUUGGGCAGCUCCUGGCUAUUGAGAAGGCUCUGAAUUUGUGGCUCAGUGAUGCUCCAGGUCCUCCUGAGCCACAGUGAGAUGAUGCUGCAGUGACACCAUGCUGGCCUCCAGCAAUGCUGGUUGGUGAGAACAGGUUGGGGAACGGAGAGCAGCCCAUCUGGCUGUAAGAAGAAAAGGCUUCUGGCUUUGCUGCUGGCUCCUGACCCCAUUGGGCUGGGAGGACAUAUGCAAAGGAUUCACUGCUAGGGGAGAACCUUGGGGUUCCCAGGGCUGGGUGGACUCAUCCUUGUUUGUGAAUGGGAGCAUCAAGGAAUGGGGCUGAGAGCAGAGGUGAGGAGCAAGCAGGGAGGGCUCCUGAAGGGAAGCAUCGUUCCUGGGACAGACAGCUGUGCCCCAUGGGCCUCCCCCCACUGGAGAAGGGAGGUUUAAUUAGCAAAAGCCCAAUUACAGCUCGGCAAAACAUUGCAUCCAGUCCCUCCCAAGGACACAGCGCCCGUCUCGCUCUGUCCUUAUCUUCCUUCAGGCUCAUCCAGGUCUGCUCCCAUGCGCUUUGCAAAGACCAAAGGUCUCCAAGCUAUGUUUUCCCACCCUCCCACCACCCUACAAGGACUCCUGGAAAUAGCAUAAACUUGUAAGUUCAGAGCAAAUUCCUGCCUUCAAACUUUUUAUCGGUUUCACUAAAAAGCGUUGGGAAUUAGUUUCCCAACGAAGACAGCAACACGGUAAUGCCACAUUAUAAAUAAAGAUGAAUAAAUAAUACA
ensembl:lncRNA